rnacentral:rRNA from 1 species
AUGGCGUUCAGCAAACUCAACGGCCAGAUGGAAGCCAAGGCAGCCGCGGUUUUGUUCAUUGUGCUCCUUGGAUGCUCCAUGCUCAUGUUGGUCUCCUCAACUGAUGGUGAGAUCGGCAGAUCAGGUUGUCCUCGUCUUUCGGAUGGCGAUGCCAUAGGCAAAGACGACACCCCGUUCCCAAAAAUGUGCAUAGGGAGGAGGCAUGGCCCUGAGAACGUUGAAUUCUGUUGUGCAACACUACCAGGACUACCUUGCUGGCGAACGCAGGAAGAGUGCCUCCACGUUUGCCCGUAG